CACGUAGGCGGCUCGGCAAAUCGGUCGUGGAAUCCCGACGCUUACCGUCGGAACGGCGGCCGAAAAUACCGGGCUCGAGGGCGUGAGGGGUCACUGGAACUCCUGGUGAAGCGGUGAAAUGCGUAGAUAUCAGGAGGAACGCCGGAGGCGAAAGCGAGUGACUGGCGCGUUCCUGACGCUGAGGUGCGAAAGCUAGGGGAGCAAAACA
rnacentral:rRNA from 1 species